rnacentral:rRNA from 1 species
CGGUGCCUGUCUAACAAUGAAUUUCUAAAUGUUGACCUCGGAUCAGGUAGGAAUACCCGCUGAACUUAAGCAUACA